rnacentral:lncRNA from 1 species
CAGAAUUGGAGCUAGAAUGGAUUAGAAUGGAAAUCGAAAUGGUCAUAUUUUGUGACUCAUUUGAUUCAUGACGGAAAUCGAAAUGCGAUCUCAAUAGUACGAGAGAAUCAAGAUUGGGUUUCGAGGGAUUAGAGCAUCCACAUUCUCUUCUAGAAUCAAAAUGGAAAUAAAACUUUCUCCAACUAAAUGGCUGGAAUUGGGAGCCUCUCAUUCCC